UAUAUAAAAAAAAUUAACCUUUGAAUACGUGUUUCUUGAUUCAUUAACAAUGAAGCAAAUAUACAACAAAAUUGGUGUUCGGUGGGUUACAUUUAACGCUAAUUAAUUGACCAAUUCAUUUUGUUCAAGAUUAACUACUUUUAAGUACUAGCAUGGAUUAUAUUUUGACAAAAAAAAGGUUUCGACAAAAAAAACCGUCGCAGUGUUGUGACGUCAAUAUUGCUGGUAUUUGCGGACGUAUUUUUAUCAAAUAUUUCGUGAAUAUUAUAUAAAUAUACUGUUUUAUCUUAGCUGUUUUCUACAUGACUGGCUUGUUUUCCUGCUAUAUGAUUACUUUGAUUGUUUUUGCCUCAAUUUUCGUCUCGUACAUCGAUACGAAAUCCUACUUAGCCCACUUAAGCCCCCUUUAUUUAAACAGUUCAACGACUUGAGCAACUGCGCUAUCCAACACUAAGUACAAAAACAAUUAUUCUUUGCCGUGAUAAGUAUGUACUGGAAAUAUUCAGAAACAUAAUUAGUUUAUGUUGAGGAACGUAUAACAAGUCCAUCGCUAAGCGAAGAACCAUCGCCAAAAGAGAACAAGAAGAGAAUGGAAGAGACGAAAAUUUGUAUAAACACAUAUGUAUUCUUACCGCCGCUGCGACGGAAUUUUUCAUUACCAAAUAGACAUUGAACUGUACGAGAACAAAAUAAAUACAGUCCACUAAAAUCAAAUCCGUCGAGCAUAUUAUUCGCGAACAGUUUACAUAAAAAACAAAAUUUUUAAGCAAGAGAAGUCCUAUCGCUCCUUGGGCAGAUCUUGAAUAUAUUUCUGCGCGAUACAUUGAGAAGCUUUUAACGCACCUAAAGGCUAAGGAGAAUGUGUACAUAUGUGCUCUUCAGCUACUUGUCGUCCAACGAGUCUCUAUAACUGGCUCCGUUCUAAACCAUCUCCUGCAAUUAUCUUGCAGAACCAUCCGAUUCCUGCAGUCGGAAGACUGUCCGUCAAUCAAACUCGGAGGAAUACGGCUGAUGAAGUCCGUGGCUUGCUUCAGUAUGGGUCUGGCAUUCAUGAGAAUCGAAUAACGAUCACACUCACACAUUCACAUCAAUGUGGAUGACAAUGAGCUGUUGCCCAAGAUCUCGGCCAAAUUGGAUCUGCUUUCGUACGUUCUGCAACAGACGCAUGUGCACGGCUUUGUGAAAAUGGCCGAACUGCAUCAUAUACUUUGGAAGAAGCUGGCGAUCGUGCCCCCAAGGAGAUCAUCAUCCAGCAGGAACGCGUGACGUUUUAUAAUCAGUUAAUCCUCUUCCAUAUGCUGCCGCUACUGUUCGCCAUUAAAUAUGCCCACAGGCAGGCGGACGAGGCUUCUCGCACUGAACUGUUCGACGCUUACGUUCUGAAAUUAAUGGAAAUGUCGUGUGAGCAGAUAUUGGCAGAUGGUCUGUUCACGCCAGAGUUAGCCAACAAGUGGACCAGGCGUAAAAGCUCGUGCAGCUGGCUAUGGAGCAUUUCCCAUCGCCGAACAUGGCGUUGCUGGUAGUCAAUCUGCAGGGCUCUGCCUUGGUUUGCCUGGGUCCCACUAUUGUCAAGCGCAUGCAUGAUACCAAUGCAUUUCGGCCAAUGAAAAUAGUCAAAAAUGAAAUGAGAAAAUUAUUGGACGAAAAAUCGUCAUCGACCUGCACCCUAACAAUAGAACGGAGCUGCGAACGUUUUCCGGAAAUAUACCAAAUAGUAUGGUAUAUAUAUUUACUUUACGGAAAAAUACUAUAAAAUAUUACCGCGGCCACACUAUCCUAAACUCUUCCCGAAAAACAAUGAAAAGAAAUGUGUUACACUUGGCUUGUUUCCCAGAGGGCAACGCCGGCUAGCUG
rnacentral:sRNA from 1 species